CCUACGGGUGGCUGCAGUGGGGAAUAUUGGACAAUGGGGGGAACCCUGAUCCAGCCAUGCCGCGUGUGUGAAGAAGGCCCUCGGGUUGUAAAGCACUUUUAGUGGGGAAGAACGCCUGGUGGUUAAUACCCAUCAGGAAAGACAUCACUCACAGAAGAAGCACCGGCUAACUCCGUGCCAGCAGCCGCGGUAAUACGGAGGGUGCGAGCGUUAAUCGGAAUUACUGGGCGUAAAGCGCGCGUAGGUGGCUUGAUAAGCCGGUUGUGAAAGCCCCGGGCUCAACCUGGGAACGGCAUCCGGAACUGUCAAGCUAGAGUGCAGGAGAGGAGAGUAGAAUUCCCGGUGUAGCGGUGAAAUGCGUAGAGAUCGGGAGGAAUACCAGUGGCGAAGGCGGCCUUCUGGACUGACACUGACACUGAGGUGCGAAAGCGUGGGUAGCAAACAGGAUUAGAUACCCUAGUAGUC
rnacentral:rRNA from 1 species